ACGCUGGCGGCGUGCCUAAUACAUGCAAGUAGAACGCACAGUUUAUACCGUAGCUUGCUACACCAUAGACUGUGAGUUGCGAACGGGUGAGUAACGCGUAGGUAACCUGCCUGGUAGCGGGGGAUAACUAUUGGAAACGAUAGCUAAUACCGCAUAAUAUUGAUUAUUGCAUGAUAAUUGAUUGAAAGAUGCUAUUGCAUCACUACCAGAUGGACCUGCGUUGUAUUAGCUAGUAGGUGAGGUAACGGCUCACCUAGGCGACGAUACAUAGCCGACCUGAGAGGGGGAUCGGCCACACUGGGACUGAGACACGGCCCAGACUCCUACGGGAGGCAGCAGUAGGGAAUCUUCGGCAAUGGACGAAAGUCUGACCGAGCAACGCCGCGUGAGUGAAGAAGGUUGUCGGAUCGUAAAGCUCUGUUGUAAGAGAAGAACGGGUGUGAGAGUGGAAAGUUCACACUGUGACGGUAUCUUACCAGAAAGGGACGGCUAACUACGUG
rnacentral:rRNA from 1 species